rnacentral:rRNA from 1 species
CUCUGUCACUCCUACGGGAGGCAGCAGUGGGGAAUAUUGCACAAUGGGCGCAAGCCUGAUGCAGCCAUGCCGCGUGUAUGAAGAAGGCCUUCGGGUUGUAAAGUACUUUCAGCAGUGAGGAAGGCGGAGUCGUUAAUAGCGGCCUCGUUUGACGUUAGCUGCAGAAGAAGCACCGGCUAACUCCGUGCCAGCAGCCGCGGUAAUACGGAGGGUGCGAGCGUUAAUCGGAAUUACUGGGCGUAAAGCGCAUGCAGGUGGUUUGUUAAGUCAGAUGUGAAAGCCCGGGGCUCAACCUCGGAAUUGCAUUUGAAACUGGCAGACUAGAGUACUGUAGAGGGGGUAGAAUUUCAGGUGUAGCGGUGAAAUGCGUAGAGAUCUGAAGGAAUACCGGUGGCGAAGGCGGCCCCCUGGACAGAUACUGACACUCAGAUGCGAAAGCGUGGGGAGCAAACAGGAUUAGAUACCCUGGUAG